rnacentral:rRNA from 1 species
AUGAACGCUGGCGGCGUGCCUAAUUCAUGCAAGUCGAGCGAACAGACGAGGAGCUUGCUCCUUUGACGUUAGCGGCGGACGGGUGAGUAACACGUAGGUAACCUACCUAUAAGACUGGGAUAACUUCGGGAAACCGGAGCUAAUACCGGAUAAUAUUUCGAACCGCAUGGUUCGAUAGUGAAAGAUGGCUUUGCUAUCACUUAUAGAUGGACCUGCGCCGUAUUAGCUAGUUGGUAAGGUAACGGCUUACCAAGGCAACGAUACGUAGCCGACCUGAGAGGGUGAUCGGCCACACUGGAACUGAGACACGGUCCAGACUCCUACGGGAGGCAGCAGUAGGGAAUCUUCCGCAAUGGGCGAAAGCCUGACGGAGCAACGCCGCGUGAGUGAUGAAGGUCUUCGGAUCGUAAAACUCUGUUAUUAGGGAAGAACAAACGUGUAAGUAACUGUGCACGUCUUGACGGUACCUAAUCAGAAAGCCACGGCUAACUACGUG